rnacentral:ribozyme from 1 species
GAAAAGGAGAUGUGGGGGGGAAGGGGAAGGCGGCAGAAUACUGAGACCAUCACUUUUUCCUCCCUUUUGUGGCUCUUUUCGUUUAUGGGAAAGCAGUCGCACUUGGGUUAAAAGCCGGUGUUCGCUCAAGGUGACAAGAAUCUGAACGUGUCUUUUUUUUUUUUGUUUCCUCUCCUGUCAAAGCCUGCUUUUCGUGGUGAAGGGGUGUG